rnacentral:rRNA from 1 species
UACGAAGGGGGCUAGCGUUGCUCGGAAUUACUGGGCGUAAAGCGCACGUAGGCGGCUUUCUAAGUCGGGGGUGAAAUCCUGGAGCUCAACUCCAGAACUGCCUUCGAUACUGGAGAGCUCGAGUCCGGAAGAGGUGAGUGGAACUGCGAGUGUAGAGGUGAAAUUCGUAGAUAUUCGCAAGAACACCAGUGGCGAAGGCGGCUCACUGGCCCGGUACUGACGCUGAGGCGCGAAGGCUAGGGGAGCGAACGGG